rnacentral:rRNA from 1 species
AACGAACGCUGGCGGCAGGCUUAACACAUGCAAGUCGAGCGCCCCGCAAGGGGAGCGGCAGACGGGUGAGUAACGCGUGGGAAUCUACCCAUCUCUACGGAAUAACGCAUGGAAGCGUGUGCUAAUACCGUAUACGUCCUUCGGGAGAAAGAUUUAUCGGAGAUGGAUGAGCCCGCGUUGGAUUAGCUAGUUGGUGGGGUAAAGGCCUACCAAGGCGACGAUCCAUAGCUGGUCUGAGAGGAUGAUCAGCCACACUGGGACUGAGACACGGCCCAGAGUCCUACGGGAGGCAGCAGUGGGGAAUAUUGGACAAAGGGCGCUAGCCUGAUCCAGCCAUGCCGCGUGAGUGAUGAAGGCCCUAGGGUUGUAAAGCUCUUUCACCGGUGAAGAUAAUGACGGUAACCGGAGAAGAAGCCCCGGCUAACUUCGUGCCAGCCGCCGCCGUAAUAC